UAGGGAAUCUUCCGCAAUGGGCGAAAGCCUGACGGAGCAACGCCGCGUGAGUGAUGAAGGUCUUCGGAUCGUAAAACUCUGUUAUUAGGGAAGAACAAAUGUGUAAGUAACUAUGCACGUCUUGACGGUACCUAAUCAGAAAGCCACGGCUAACUACGUGCCAGCAGCCGCGGUAAUACGUAGGUGGCAAGCGUUAUCCGGAAUUAUUGGGCGUAAAGCGCGCGUAGGCGGUUUUUUAAGUCUGAUGUGAAAGCCCACGGCUCAACCGUGGAGGGUCAUUGGAAACUGGAAAACUUGAGUGCAGAAGAGGAAAGUGGAAUUCCAUGUGUAGCGGUGAAAUGCGCAGAGAUAUGGAGGAACACCAGUGGCGAAGGCGAGUUUCUGGUCUGUAACUGACGCUGAUGUGCGAAAGCGUGGGGAUCAAACAGG
rnacentral:rRNA from 1 species